rnacentral:rRNA from 1 species
GAGUGAACGCUGGCGGCGUCGCCGUAAGUACGUGCAAGUCGAGCGAACGGGCGAGAAGCUUGCGUUCUCGUGAAGUGUUAGCGGCGGACGGGUGAGUAACACGUGGAUAACCUACCUAUAAGACUGGGAUAACUUCGGGAAACCGGAGCUAAUACCGGAUAAUAUUUUGAACCGCAUGGUUCAAAAGUGAAAGACGGUCUUGCUGUCACUUAUAGAUGGAUCCGCGCUGCAUUAGCUAGUUGGUAAGGUAACGGCUUACCAAGGCAACGAUGCAUAGCCGACCUGAGAGGGUGAUCGGCCACACUGGAACUGAGACACGGUCCAG